rnacentral:lncRNA from 1 species
UAACAGUUUUAGUCGAUGAUCUCAUUACUGUGAGGCAGAUGUCAUGCUGGAAGCAUGUGGUGGAGCAAACCAUUCACCUUGUUGUGGGGAAGCAAAAGAGAGAAGGAGGAGGUGUCUGGGGUCCCAUUGUCCUCUUCAGGAGCAUACUCACCAUGAUCUAACUUUCUCCCAUUAGCCCCAAAUCCUAAUGGCUCCACCACCUCCCAGUAGUGCCAAGCUGGGGACCAAGUCUCUAAUACAUGGGCCUGUUGGGGAGAGAUCCAUACUACAGCAGGACACAUACUAUAUACUUUGUUUGGAUGAAUUAAGACAGAAACUUAGGAAAUUCUGCCAGAGACUGUUUACUAUGGGGAAGAUGAGAACUUUCACUUCUUUGUUAGGGCCAAAAGUAUUUUCGGUAGGAGAGGGCUGGCCUCUGUAGACUGUAGUGUACCACCCUCAUGAACUGUGGUUUAUUGAUAGUUAAGAAAUUAGACCAUUUCAACUUGAAGUCUUGGAAUCAUGGUGUCCUGUGAUGUGAGGAAAAUAUGUUCAUCUGAUGAGCCCCUCCCCAUCCUCCAUAGCUUUCCCUGGGAUUCCUGUUCAGCUCUGUUUCAAUAAAUUUGCCCUCUCUGUAUUCUUCUAGAUCUCAUUUCUUUAAUUUUUUGGUUUAUCACUAAAUUCUCAAAUACAACCAUGCGUCUUUUACUGAUGAAGGAGCAUUCCGAGGAAUGUGGUGUUAGGUGAUUUCGUCC